UACGUAGGGGGCGAGCGUUGUCCGGAGUUACUGGGCGUAAAGGGCAUGCAGGCGGUCGGACGCGUUUUGUGUGACAGCGGGUGGCUCAACUACGCGAGCAUACGGAAGACGGUUUGACUUGAGGGCUCGAGAGGGACACGGAAUUCCGGGUGGAGUGGUGAAAUGCGUAGAGAUCCGGAGGAACACCGAAGGCGAAGGCAGUGUCCUGGCGAGUGACUGACGCUGAGGUGCGAAAGCCAGGGGAGCGAACGGG
rnacentral:rRNA from 1 species